rnacentral:tRNA from 1 species
GGAUAUAGCUCAGUGGUAGAGCAUGCGAUUGCAGAUCGCAGGGUCCCGUGUUCGAACCACGGUGUCUCCU